rnacentral:lncRNA from 1 species
UAUCACUCUGGUGCACCUUCAGGUUGGAGGUCCUUGUCCACCCCUCGCCCAGGGGGAGGGCGGCACUGGAGGACAGCCCUCUCCCACAGAGCCUUGUGCAUCUCACCGAGGGUGGUAAAGCAUCACACGUCUGCUGCUGCCUGGAGACCGAGGGCCAGGAUGUGUCCAAAAUGUGAUAUCUGAACACCCAACUCUUCUCAUCCUCAGCUGGCAGAUCAUCAGGUAAAGAGCGAAAUACAGGUUAAAGUGGAAAUAAUAAUAACAGCUAAUGUCUAUUGCGAAUUUACCAUGUUCUAGGCACAGCAAUAAGAGUUUUCCAUUGCAUGUUCUUAUUUCUUCUUCAUAACCACUUGGUGGGGUAGGUACUGUUAUAACUCCCAUUUUACUGAAGCUUGGAGAGACUAAGUGACAAGUGCAAGGUGAUAUGAGUGUUACUGCCACUAUGAUAUGACUCCAUAAUCUUCACUCUUAACCUCUACGUAUUGACUUCCAGGAUCUAUCUCAUUCUAAAAUUUUGUCACCAUAUGAAAUGUUAAGGUUCUUCAACCUUGUACCAUAUAAAAAAAAUGACAACAGUGCUAAUUAAACUGAUUAGGAAGCAUACUCAAAGUGGCUUUACUUUCAGGGUUCUGGUCCUGUUAACUACAGAGCAAGGCCCAUGUCAGUGUUUCUCACGGAGCUUGCCUUUCUGUCCGUCCUUGGCGCUUGGAGGACCGGUUUGAUUUUGUGAGGUGUAUCUGAGGAAUUCACUCCUGCAUCUUCUCCAUCUGCACACAGUGUCCGCACAUAAUUCUCCGUAGAGAUACCCAGAUGCAAGUGGCUCUUUGGAAGGGCCAAGAAGACCUUCAGUGGGGUAGUUUCCUCUCCCAGGAUGGAUUUUACUCAUUGUCUUAUCACCAGGACAGCCCACACGCAUCCAAGUCUCUGGACUCAGAUCCAGGCUCCAGCCCCAGUUUCCGUCUGACCCUUGAGAAGCCAUCUCUCCAGGGGCUUCCUUUGGAAGGGAGAGCCCUACAUGCUUGACUCUGCCAUGCGGGAUCCAAAGGAACAAUUCCUGAGCACCUGAGAGAAAUGCCCAAGCGAAAGCACUGGGGUGCUGGGGAAGCAGCCCCUGGUUUUUGGAGAGGGCAUGAGAAGAAGUUCACGGAGGGCUUUAGUUUUGUUUAGAUUCCCAGUCAUUCUCUUAUUACUGCUACUCCCUGCGUUUGUGUAACUAUUGGCCUACAAAAUAGCUCACAAGUGUUCUCUCAUUUGAUGCUCACAGUGGCACUGUGGUAUGCUACAAGCAGGUACAAGGCUAUUACCUCCAUUUCACUGACUGGGAAACUGAGGCUCAGAGCAGUUUGGGAGCUCUCCUGAAAUCACACAGCUAGUUAGA